rnacentral:rRNA from 1 species
AACGAACGUUGGCGGCGUGGAUUAGGCAUGCAAGUCGAGCGAUCGUAGCAAUACGGGAGCGGCAAACGGGGUAGGAAUACAUCGGAACGUACCUUUUGGUUGAGAAUAGCGUUGGGAAACUGACGGUAAUACUCAAUAAAGUCGAGAGACCAAAGGUUUACUGCCGGAAGAGCGGCCGAUGCGAUAUUAGGUAGUUGGUGGGGUAAUGGCCUACCAAGCCUGAGAUGUCUAGGGGGUGUGAGAGCAUGGCCCCCACCACUGGGACUGAGAUACUGCCCAGACACCUACGGGUGGCUGCAGUCGAGGAUCUUCGUCAAUGGGCGAAAGCCUGAACGAGCGACGCCGCGUGGGGGAUGAAGGUCUUCGGAUUGUAAACCCCUUUCGGGAGGGAAGAUGGAGUGGGUAACCACUUGGACGGUACCUCCAGAAGCAGCCACGGCUAACUUCGUGCCAGCAGCCGCGGUAAU